rnacentral:rRNA from 1 species
ACAACAGUACUGUGAGGGAAAAGUUGCAAAGAACUUCGAAGAGAGAGUUCAAGAGUACGUGAAACUGCUCAGAGGUAAACGGGUGGGCCCUCGAAAUCCUGUGGCGAGAGGAUUCAGUCUGGUUCGGCGGACGCGGUGGCGGAAUUCAGCAGAGCUUCCCCGGAACGGGGGCCGUCUGCCUCUGCGCCUUUCUUCGUUCCAGACGCAUUUGUCUCUCGUCCGAAGGACGCCGCAGCCGGUUCGGAAGUGCAAGAGUGACGGCCUGAAGGUCGGGAAAUGGCAGGUGGCCGGUGGCUCGCUUCGUGCGGGUCGUCGGUUGUUAGCCGUCCCGUCAGUGGCCCGUCUCCGGACCAAGGUGUCGCGAGUCCCUCGGGACUCCACGUCUCCGCCCCCGUGUUGCGGGAUAGAUUCUGCAGGAGCGUUCAGCCCGGCGUCCGCACGCCUGACGCGUGGGAAGGCCGGGCACAGCUCUCUGAUGGUCGAGGCGAGGCCCGCGGGGGACACAAGGCUGGCGGCGAGUAGGUCGGUCACCCACCCGACCCGUCUUGAAACACGGACCAAGGAGUCUAACAGUGCGCAAGUCAAUGGGUCUUGAACAGGCCCAGGGGCGCAAUGAAAGCAAAGAGCGGACGAGUGCCGUGUGUGCGGGGAUCCCUCCUCUCCAGAGGGGGGCGCACCCACGACCCGUUCUGUGCCGCUCGCGGCUUGGGCGGAGUCUGAGCGUACACGUUGGGACCCGAAAGAUGGUGAACUAUGCCCGGAACAGAAUGAAGCCAGAGGAAACUCUGGUGGAGGUUCGCAGCGGUUCUGACGUGCAAAUCGAUCGUAAACAUCCUGUAAUAGGAAAAAAAAAAAAA